rnacentral:rRNA from 1 species
AGUGAACGCUGGCGGUAGGCCUAACACAUGCAAGUCGAACGACAGCACAGAGGAGCUUGCUCCUUGGGUGGCGAGUGGCGGACGGGUGAGGAAUACAUCGGAAUCUACUCUGUCGUGGGGGAUAACGUAGGGAAACUUACGCUAAUACCGCAUACGACCUACGGGUGAAAGCAGGGGAUCUUCGGACCUUGCGCGAUUGAAUGAGCCGAUGUCGGAUUAGCUAGUUGGCGGGGUAAAGGCCCACCAAGGCGACGAUCCGUAGCUGGUCUGGGAGGAUGAUCAGCCACAGUGGAACUGGGACACGGUCCAGACUCCUACGGGAGUCAGCAGUGGGGAAUAUUGGACAAUGGGCGCGAGCCUGAUCCAGCCAUACCGCGUGGGUGAAGAAGGCCUUCGGGUUGUAAAGCCCUUUUGUUGGGAAAGAAAUCCAGCCGGCUAAUACCCGGUUGGGAUGACGGUACCCAAAGAAUAAGCACCGGCUAACUUCGUGCCAGCCGCCGCGGUAA